CAUCGAUGCACGAGUGCUGAUGCAGCUCGGUGAGCGUAGGUCAGUUCGGCUUUCGAUGCUCGACUGAGCAGGUGUAAUGAAUGGUUUGCUGGGACAGACGGUUUGUAUUCUUGUACCUCCACAACACUACAUGGCGGCAGCGGCGUGCCUCGACAGCCAUGUCUAUAUACUAGCGGAGGCGAUGCACAGCUACUUUCUGGAUGGAGCGCCGAUGUGUCACCACAGCACGGCGUCGGCGUUCGUUUCUUCAACCCCUUUGCGGUGGAACUUCCGGAGAAGCGAGAUUUCAGAAAUCCCGAUGUCUGGAAGAAAUAUAUUACAAGUACGGCACGCUAAAUGAGCUCAAAACAGCGACGACAUAGACUCUACUCGACUUCCCAACGCUUAUCCACUUACUCUUAUAUUCAGCCCUGAAAGAGACCUCCUUGCCGCCUUGCUCUCUGAGCGGCGUCUCUAACCACGUGGGACCGUUUCGGUGCAAUGAAGGCUGCGCAAAAUUAAUUUGGCAUUGCGUGACACCGUCACCGUCUUUCUAUGUUUUUGCUUUCCACGGCUAUUGCUUAAACAUAUAAACACCGUAUUUAUGUCA